CGUCUAUAUACGUAUAGCAUAUCAAUAAGCGGAGGAAAAGAAACUAACAAGGAUUCCCCUAGUAACGGCGAGUGAAGCGGGAAGAGCUCAAAUUUGAAAUCUUAAAGGGUUUCCCUUUACGAAUUGUAGUUUAAAGAAGUGUUUUCUGUUGGAGUUUCGGUAAAAGUUCUUUGGAAUAGGACAUCAUAGAGGGUGAGAAUCCCGUAUUUGACCGUUACUUUCCAGCUGUGUGAUACACUUUCAAAGAGUCGGAUUGUUUGGGAAUGCAGUCCAAAAUGGGUGGUAAAUUUCAUCUAAAGCUAAAUAUUGGCGAGAGACCGAUAGCGAACAAGUACCGUGAGGGAAAGAUGAAAAGAACUUUGAAAGGAGAGUUAAACAGUACGUGAAAUUGUCAAAAGGGAAGCGUUUGACACCAGUGUUGUUUAGUUGAAAAUCAAUUCAAUAAUUUUUGAUUUUGAGUAGUAUUGACUUCAUCAGCUUGCUGCUCUCUUUUCGGAAAUUAUUGAAUGCACUUUUCAGUUAACAAGUCAACAUCAAUUUCUUUUGUUGUAAAAGGGUAAGAGGAAGGUGGCUUACGCUUCGGCGUAAGUGUUUAUAGCCUUUUACCUCUGCAAUCGGAGAGAUUGAGGUCUGCAGCGUAGAUCCUUCGGGGUUAGAUACAUUUGUGCUAAGCUAUAGCCUUGUAUAGACAACUUGUUGACUAUGCUCAGUCAUGUAGCUUACUCGCUUAUGCUAUUUUACCUACGCUUAGGAUGUUGAUAUGCAUGACUGAUAU
rnacentral:rRNA from 1 species